rnacentral:rRNA from 1 species
UACGUAGGGAGCAAGCGUUGUCCGGAAUCAUUGGGCGUAAAGCGCGCGUAGGUGGCCAUGUAAGUCCGCUGUGAAAGUCAAAGGCUCAACCUUUGAAAGCCGGUGGGUACUGCACGGCUAGAGUACGGAAGAGGCGAGUGGAAUUCCUGGUGUAGCGGUGGAAUGCGCAGAUAUCAGGAGGAACACCAAUAGCGAAGGCAGCUCGCUGGGACGUUACUGACACUGAGGCGCGAAAGCGUGGGGAGCGAACAGG